rnacentral:rRNA from 1 species
UGGGGAAUAUUGCGCAAUGGGCGAAAGCCUGACGCAGCAACGCCGCGUGAGUGAUGAAGGCCUUCGGGUCGUAAAGCUCUGUCGGAGGGAACGAAUGCUCCAGGGGUUAACAGCCUCAGGAGGUGACGGUACCCUCAAAGGAAGCACCGGCUAACUCUGUGCCAGCAGCCGCGGUAAUACAGAGGGUGCAAGCGUUGUUCGGAAUCAUUGGGCGUAAAGGGCGCGUAGGCGGCCUGCUAAGUCGAACGUGAAAUCCCCGGGCUCAACCCGGGAACUGCGUCCGAUACUGGUUGGCUUGAAUCCGGGAGAGGGAUGCGGAAUUCCAGGUGUAGCGGUGAAAUGCGUAGAUAUCUGGAGGAACACCGGUGGCGAAGGCGGCAUCCUGGACCGGCAUUGACGCUGAGGCGCGAAAGCCAGGGGAGCAAACGGGAUUAGAUACCCAGGUAGUCCCUGAGCGGGCUGGCAAGGCGCAU